ACCAGAUCCACAGCUGCCAGCACCCAAUUAACCUUAUAAUUAACCUUAGAGAGCAGUGCUGGAGUCGUUAACGUCCGUCCACCCCCUGGGACAUGAACCAGACCUGCAGAGAGGGACAGAGCUGGAUCUGCUGUUACCUCCUCAGCCCUGUCCGAGUCCAAUGGGCUUCCUUUGCUCAUAGAAUCACAGCGUGUUUGGGCAGGGAACUGAACGGAUCCAUGGAACAAAAAGGAAACCUUCCGAGUGACGCUGCGGGACGUGGGCAGUGUGCACGGCCGGGGAUGGGCUGGCGGUGCUGAUCUGAGCGCUCUCCUCCAACCUUCGUGUCUCUGUGAUGACAAAAAGCAGCUGAACUCUCACAGCCGACCCGGGCACAUCCCUGUGCUCUGCCCUCUUGCACAGAACUGCUGCUCUGUGCUGAGUGCUGCUGCACUUCCGAGCAGCCCGAGUCGGAAUGGAGACAUUUUUCCUCUUUAAGAACCAAGACAUAAAAUAAAGACAACCCAACGUCCUCUGCUUUUUCACCCGGGAGAGGGCUGUCCUGCUCUGCCCUCGAGAUGUCCGUAGCCCUCGGAGCACUGCAGUAAGGCCGUGGCUAUAACUUAGCCUCAGCCUCAUCCCUCCAUCCGCAGUCAAGGAGAAGUGUGUACUUGGAGCACAUCUGGCCAGCUGUGCUUGGGGGCUGUGAGGCGGCAGUGGGGGCUGAUCCUCCUUCCCCAGCCCUGCUCCCUGCCAACCCUCCCGCAAACACUUGAUCUCAUCAGCAGAUUUGGGACCGGGAAGGAAUUUUCCAUAUGUCAAUCUGGCAGGAACUACAGAGAUUUUUGCUUUCCUCUGUAUCAUGGAGUGGAAAACAUCUGGGCAUAUCAAUUACCCAUGACUGCAUGAGGCACGAGCACCAGGAGUGCCUCGGGC
ensembl:lncRNA